UAUUUGGUUCUUCCCUUCUCUCGUAGCCGACAUGAUCCUUCCGCGCUUUGUGUUGUUCUUGUUUACUUGAUCUGAUGAUGAUUAAUGUGGCCCGAUCUGCGUAUCUGCCUGCUUGCUGCUGGCGAUAGAUGAUGAUUGCUGCGUCUCGCAGCAGCUCGCUGUGGUUGUGCUGUUGUAAUAUAGCAACAUUUUACUUGCUUCCUUCCUGUGAGGAAGCAGACAGCUAAAGUAACUUAUUUUCAAUCUUUAGCUACAUGUGCUCAUCUUGUUCUUACCCUUUAUACUCUUUUAGUUUUUCUUUCUUUUUGGAAUUGGGAAGCUUGAAACAUCCCACCUAUUUACUAGAAUAGUCAGAAGGCUUGUAGCAAACAGGAAGCUUAAAUGCCAGAAAUAUACAGCUGAAAUUCGUUCUGUU
rnacentral:sRNA from 1 species